ensembl:lncRNA
CCAGCUGUUGCUGGGCAGGUUCUCAGAGGGCAGGGCAGGUGAGCAAGCCUACAGUAGGGCCCUGGAGCAAGCCAAGAAGUCUAGGGAGGCUGGAUUUUUCCCCAGAGCUGCCAUGGCCUCCAUGGAUGACCCAGGACAACUCCUUCCCCUGCUGCGGAUCUGUUUUCUCAUUGGAAAAAAUGGCAGUGAUGAGACAGGGUGGUGUAGGAGUGAACAAGUUAGGCUCUGGAGGCAAUCGAUCCUGAGUUUAAAAUCCAGCUCUGUCGUUUACUAACUGUGUGACCUUGGGCAAGUCCCUUCUGGGUCAGAGCCUCAGUUUCCUCUCCUGUAAAAUGGAGAAAUACCAACAGUUGAGAAGAAAUUUGAAAGAGGGAAGUGGUUACAAGGAGUGCCUCAGUGGAGCCCCCUUUCCUGCCUAAGCGUCUGAGAAGUCCCUCCUAGCUCCCCCAGGCACAGUAGCUCAGGCUGCAGCUGGGAGCCGCGAGGAGACAAAUGAGCAAGAGGGAAGCCGGAGAUUCUGGGAGGGGAUGAGGCAAAGGGAGGUGUCAGUGGCUUUGGAGCCACAGUCCUGAGCUCAAGUCCCAAUGCCUCUGUGAUUAGCUGCCUGGGCCAACGCCCUGGUUCCAUGACACUGCUGUUUUUUUCCCAAGGGGCCUGAAAACACCCACCUCACAGUUGCCCUCAGGCUCCUGUGAUAUCAUCUCUUCAAGGGUGCCAGGCAUGGUGCCAGCACCGAGGCGCCUCCCACCCUCUUCCUGCCAGGGGCCUCCCAGAGCUUCCACACCGGGAAACCCUUUCCCACCGACCAUGAUACAAGUGGGAGAAACUGCACAGUGAGUCUCCCCGGAGCCUGGUGGCACGGAUCCUGCUAUCAGACCAAUCUCAACGGGCGCUACUUGAUGUUCAAAGCCCCUGCCCAUAAUUAUAGCAUUGAAAGGGCCUCACGCCAAGGCGUGGGCCACCCUUACCACAGCGAUUAAAUGGUGCUUCACUAGGGCACCCUGGUAGCCAGCACCCUUAUCUCUAUCACACAGCUUCCGGACUCUCGGCAGUUGUUCAGUUGCUUGGUCGUGUUCGACUCUUCAUGAUCCCAUGGACCGCAGCAUGUCAGGCUUCCCUGACUUUCCUUGUCUCCCAGAGUUGGCUCAGACUCAUGCCCAUUGAGUCGAUGAUGCCAUCCAACCAUCUCAUCC